UACGUAGGGCGCAAGCGUUUGUCCGGAAUUAUUGGGCGUAAAGGGCUCGUAGGCGGUUUGUCACGUCGGGAGUGAAAACUCAGGGCUCAACCCUGAGCGUGCUUUCGAUACGGGCAGACUAGAGGUAUGCAGGGGAGAACGGAAUUCCUGGUGUAGCGGUGGAAUGCGCAGAUAUCAGGAGGAACACCGGUGGCGAAGGCGGUUCUCUGGGCAUUACCUGACGCUGGAGGAGCGAAAGCAUGGGGAGCGAACAGG
rnacentral:rRNA from 1 species